rnacentral:rRNA from 1 species
AAAUAGAUACCCCGGUAGUCCACGCCGUAAACGAUGGAUGCUAGCUGUUAUGAGUAUCGACCCUUGUAGUAGCGAAGCUAACGCGUUAAGCAUCCCGCCUGUGGAGUACGAGCGCAAGCUUAAAACAUAAAGGAAUUGACGGGGACCCGCACAAGCGGUGGAGCGUGUUGUUUAAUUCGAUGAUAAGCGAAGAACCUUACCAAGGCUUGACAUCCCUGGAAGGUCUCCGAAAGGAGACUGUGCCUUCGGGAAUCAGGUGACGGGUGAUGCAUGGCCGUCGUCAGCUCGUGUCGUGAGAUGUUUGGUUAAGUCCAUCAACGAGCGCAACCCUUAUAAAUAGUUGAAUUUUUCUAUUUAGACUGCCUCGGUAACGGGGAGGAAGGAGGGGAUGACGUCAGGUCAGUAUUUCCCUUAUGCCUUGGGCUACAAACACGCUACAAUGGCCGGUACAAAGGGCAGCCAACCCGCGAGGGGGAGCAAAUCCCAUCAAAACCGGUCCCAGUUCGGAUAGCAGGCUGAAACUCGCCUGCUUGAAGUCGGAAUCGCUAGUAAACGGUG